CUGGGCUUUUCCUGUGUGAACCACGUGACUCAGUCAGGGUUAAUAAAACGAUCAAAUUCACUUCUGGGUUUUCUUUCUUCUGUGGAGUCCAACGCUGCUAUCGUGACCAAGGUGGAGUGACCAGAAGAUGUUGAUGUACAGUGUUGUCACCCAUAAAGUAGAAAGCACUACUAAACUUCAUUACACAGUGUAGUGUUUCCUACUUUAUGGAUGAGUAUACUGUUGGCUGCAGAUGAAUGUACUGUAGAUUGAAGAUCACCACCAGACUGUGAAAGAAUCAUCUUUACAAACUUUAGAAUCAUCCCCAAAACCUGUUGAAGUUGACUGUUUUAUUUGUUUAUUGUAAUUAGAAGUAAUUUGUUACAAACUGGUGCAAUAAGAAUGAUGCAAUGUAAAAACAGACAAUCAUUUGAAUGUACAUAGUGAGAAUGAUAAAUGAGUACAUCUAGGAAAUUAAAAUAUGUGGCUGAGGUCACAUUUGUUAAUAUAUUGUAAUUAAUGUAAUAACGAGUUUCUGAUUGACAUAAAUACAACUUUAAGCAAA